GCCGGGCAGUGCGCCACGGGACCGCGCGCGGCUGCGGAUCGCGUCGGAGAUCUUGUCGGAGAUGCGGUCGCCGCCCUCGCCCGGCUC
rnacentral:tRNA from 1 species